CCUACGGGUGGCAGCAGUGAGGAAUAUUGGUCAAUGGACGAGAGUCUGAACCAGCCAAGUCGCGUGAAGGAUGACUGCCCUAUGGGUUGUAAACUUCUUUUAUAUGGGACUAAAAUGUUCCACGUGUGGGAUUUUGUAUGUACCAUAUGCAUAAGGAUCGGCUAACUCCGUGCCAGCAGCCGCGGUACUACGGAGGAUCCGAGCGUUAUCCGGAUUUAUUGGGUUUACAGGGUGCGUAGGUGGAUUGUUAAGUCAGUUGUGAAAGGUUGCGGCUCAACCGGAAAAUUGCAGUUGAAACUGGCAGUCUUGAGUACAGUAGAGGUGGGCGGAAUUCGUGGUGUAGCGGUGAAAUGCUUAGAUAUCACGAAGAACUCCGAUUGCGAAGGCAGCGCACUGGACUGCAACUGACACUGAGGCUCGAAAGUGUGGGCAUCAAACAGGAUUAGAUACCCGAGUAGUC
rnacentral:rRNA from 1 species